GACGAACGCUGGCGGCGUGCCUAAUACAUGCAAGUCGAGCGGAAUGAUGAAGAAGCUUGCUUCUUCUGAUUUUAGCGGCGGACGGGUGAGUAACACGUGGGCAACCUACCUUGUAGAUUGGGAUAACUCCGGGAAACCGGGACUAAUACCGAAUAAUCCAUUUUGCUUCAUGGCGAGAUGUUGAAAGACGGUUUCGGCUGUCACUACAAGAUGGGCCCGCGGCGCAUUAGCUAGUUGGUAGGGUAAUGGCCUACCAAGGCGACGAUGCGUAGCCGACCUGAGAGGGUGAUCGGCCACACUGGGACUGAGACACGGCCCAGACUCCUACGGGAGGCAGCAGUAGGGAAUCUUCCACAAUGGACGAAAGUCUGAUGGAGCAACGCCGCGUGAGUGAAGAAGGUUUUCGGAUCGUAAAACUCUGUUGUAAGGGAAGAACACGUACGAGAGUAACUGCUCGUACCUUGACGGUACCUUAUUAGAAAGCCACGGCUAACUACGUG
rnacentral:rRNA from 1 species